AACGAACGCUGGCGGCAUGCCUAACACAUGCAAGCCGAACGAGAUCUUCGGGUCUAGUGGCGCACGGGUGCGUAACGCGUGGGAAUCUGCCCUUUGGUUCGGAAUAACAGUUGGAAACGACUGCUAAUACCGGAUGAUGACGAAAGUCCAAAGAUUUAUCGCCAGAGGAUGAGCCCGCGUAGGAUUAGCUAGUUGGUGUGGUAAAGGCGCACCAAGGCGACGAUCCUUAGCUGGUCUGAGAGGAUGAUCAGCCACACUGGGACUGAGACACGGCCCAGACUCCUACGGGAGGCAGCAGUGGGGAAUAUUGGACAGUGGGCGAAAGCCUGAUCCAGCAAUGCCGCGUGAGUGAUGAAGGCCUUAGGGUUGUAAAGCUCUUUUACCCGGGAUGAUAAUGACAGUACCGGGAGAAUAAGCUCCGGCUAACUCCUUGCCAGCCGCCGCAGUAA
rnacentral:rRNA from 1 species